AUGGUCCUGAAGUCCAUCUCCAAAAUCCGUGGUGUCCACAAGCACAUUCCCCUGGCUUCUUCUCUAUCUGCUCCCAGAAUUCUCUCUUCCCUUGGCCCAGUCUGUGACGGGUGUCCCUGUGGCCCAGUCUGUGACGGGUGUCCCUUGGCCCAGUCUCUAUGGCUGUCUCAGGCAGAAGAGACAAGACCCAGACCGCUGAGGUUUGGGCUCAAGAGCUGCCUCCUCAGAAGAGCCUUCUCUGAGCAUCCAGACUCGUCUAGAACCCCUGCCCCAGCCAUCACUCUCAUCGGAGCCGGUCUGAAUAGUUUCCACAGCCCUUCGCCCAGUCUGGUUACCGUGGGUAUCUGCCUGCUUGCUGUGGCUACAGACACUGGUCUGCGGGUUCUCCCAGGAGCAGGCAGGUUUUUUUUAGACACUGCUCUGGGCUUCUGCAAAGGCAGUGCCUGGCCUAGGUGAAGAGCUGAGCAGAUGGAUCAAACCUGUGAACGGAUCACCAGGGGAGUGGGUCAGGGAAGUUUGCUUUGAGGGGUGAACAGAUUAGACAAAGAAAAGGAAAGAAAAAGGUGACCAACACACCCACAACCUGCAAGCACCUACCCGCCAACUCCCCCUGCCACUCCGUCUCCCCAGCCACCUCCCAGUUAAACCCCCAAACCUGCACUGCGAGAUUCCUGGUGGCAGUUUGUUCCAGGGCACAGGGAGCAGACUCCUCCAAAACAUGAGUGAUGAUUUUGGAUUCAGAGGGGCUGAGUGGACUAAGGUCCUUUUGUGUGAUUCAACUCAAAUCCGGCCCAGACAUUCCCACCCAGUGGGCACACACUGUGAAGGGGUGUGUAGAGUUUGCCCUGGCCCUGAGUCUAACUGCUUUGAGAUUUUUCAACACUCGCUAUUGGGGCAGGGGGAGUCUAGGAUCAAAGAGGCUGGGAAGUGAUCUAAAUGAUGCUGUCACUGGAGAGGGUAAAGGUUGAAUCAGAAAUCUUGACCUUUCACACGCAGGACAGUGAUUUCCAUUGGCCAUGAUGGGAGACUUGGUUUACACUGAUUUGGGAAAUGCAGCUAAGUAUGAUUUUGACCUUGCUUAGUUUCAGAUGACAGAGAGGUAUCCUGCAGGGGCCUGUGAGCAGGCUGGUGGAAACGUCAUUGAUAGAUACACUAAGGAGACCCUGAUGCAAAAUCUGGGCUGUGCACUGUGUUUUCGUGGAGACAACCUAUGUGGUCUUUCCGCCCAGUUCCUGGCACGGAGCUUCAAAACCCAGUGGUACUGACUGAUGGGAAUGUCUUUGUUUCUCUAAGGAGGGAUCCC
rnacentral:lncRNA from 1 species